rnacentral:rRNA from 1 species
CGGCCGCAGUACCCUGACUGUGCUAAGGUAGCAUAAUAAUUUGGCUUUUAAUUGGAGUCUGGUAUGAACGAAUAAAUGGGGAGGGACUGUCUCUUACUUAUUAGGUGAAAAUACCUAAGAUUAAACAUUAGACGAGAAGACCCUUAGAAUUAUUUUUUGUUGGGGCAACACUGUCAGAGGGUAUCUGACUCAAGGUAGUAAAAGUGAACUUAAUUACCUAAGGGAUAACAGCAUAAUAUCUCUUCUUGAUUGUGACCUCGAUGUUGGACUAGGAAACCCACCCACUAG